GAUGAACGCUGGCGGCGUGCCUAAUACAUUCAAGUCGAGCGAACGGACGAGAAGCUUGCUUCUCUGAUGUUAGCGGCGGACGGGUGAGUAACACGUGGAUAACCUACCUAUAAGACUGGGAUAACUUCGGGAAACCGUAGCUAAUACCGGAUAAUAUUUUGAACCGCAUGGUUCAAAAGUGAAAGACGGUCUUGCUGUCACUUAUAGAUGGAUCCGCGCUGCAUUAGCUAGUUGGUAAGGUAACGGCUUACCAAGGCAACGAUGCAUAGCCGACCUGAGAGGGUGAUCGGCCACACUGGAACUGAGACACGGUCCAGACUCCUACGGGAGGCAGCAGUAGGGAAUCUUCCGCAAUGGGCGAAAGCCUGACGGAGCAACGCCGCGUGAGUGAUGAAGGUCUUCGGACCGUAAAACUCUGUUAUUAGGGAAGAACAUAUGUGUAAGUAACUGUGCACAUCUUGACGGUACCUAAUCAGAAAGCCACGGCUAACUACGUG
rnacentral:rRNA from 1 species